CCCCCAGUCCACCCAGCAUGGACAGCAAACGCUCCACCACCCCCCUGUCUGAGGGUUCUCUUUCAGGGCUCCAGUCCCAGACACCCUCUGUCCCAGCUGCUAGGAAGGAGCUGAGAGCUGCAGGCUGCCUACCAGAGGACAAGAGAAGAGUGCUCUGUCAGUUAGCUGCGAUCAGUAGAAAGCUGCGCAGCAAACAGAAACGUGUGAAGGG